rnacentral:rRNA from 1 species
CCUACUGGUGGCUGCAGUGAGGAAUAUUGGUCAAUGGGCGAGAGCCUGAACCAGCCAAGUCGCGUGAGGGAGUACUGCCCUAUGGGUUGUAAACCUCUUUUGUCGGGGAGCAAAAGCCGGACGUGUCCGGCUGUGAGAGUACCCGAAGAAAAAGCAUCGGCUAACUCCGUGCCAGCAGCCGCGGUAAUACGUAUGGUGCAAGCGUUAUCCGGAUUUACUGGGUGUAAAGGGAGCGCAGGCGGCACGGCAAGCCUGAUGUGAAAGCCCGGGGCCCAACCGCGGGACUGCAUUGGGAACUACCGGGCUGGAGUGCCGGAGAGGUAGGCGGAAGUCCUAGUGUAGCGGUGAAAUGCGUAGAUAUUAGGAGGAACACCAGUGGCGAAGGCGGCCUACUGGACGGUGACUGACGCUGAGGCUCGAAAGCGUGGGGAGCAAACAGGAUUAGAUACCCGAGUAGUC